rnacentral:rRNA from 1 species
CGCCUUGCCAGCCCGCUCAGAACUCAACGGAAUUGACGGGGGCCCGCACAAGCGGUGGAGUAUGUGGUUUAAUUCGAUGCAACGCGAAGAACCUUACCUGGUCUUGACAUCCCGGAGACCCUUAGGAAACUAGGGGGUGCUUCCAUCUGGAAGAAUCUGGAGACAGGUGCUGCAUGGCUGUCGUCAGCUCGUGUCGUGAGAUGUUGGGUUAAGUCCCGCAACGAGCGCAACCCUUGCCUUUAGUUGCCAGCAGUUCGGCUGGGCACUCUAAAGGGACUGCCGGUGUUAAACCGGAGGAAGGUGGGGAUGACGUCAAGUCCUCAUGGCCUUUAUGACCAGGGCUACACACGUACUACAAUGGCCGAUACAAAGGGCAGCGACACUGCGAGGUGAAGCCAAUCCCGUAAAAUCGGUCUCAGUCCGGAUUGGAGUCUGCAACUCGACCCCAUGAAGUUGGAAUCGCUAGUAAUCGUGGAUCAGCAUGCCACGGUGAAUACGUUCCCGGGCCUU